GUGGAUUAGAUACCCUGGUAGUCCACGCUGUAAACGAUGGGCACUAGGUGUUGAUUUCGCCACGGGCGGGAUCGGUGCCGGAGCUAACGCAUUAAGUGCCCCGCCUGGGGAGUACGCUCGCAAGGGUGAAACUCAAAGGAAUUGACGGGGGCCCGCACAAGCGGUGGAGCAUGUGGUUUAAUUCGAUGCAACGCGAAGAACCUUACCGGGGCUUGAACUGUCUUGGAACCCCGAUGAAAGUUGGGGGUGCCCGCAAGGGAAUCAAGAUAGAGGUGCUGCACGGCUGUCGUCAGCU
rnacentral:rRNA from 1 species